UGAGCAGCGAGAUCCAGGGACAGAGUCUCAGCCUCGCCGCUGCCGCUGCCCAGAGACUGCUGAGCCCCCGUCCGUCCGCCCGCCGCCACCCACUCCGGACACAGAACAUCCAGUCAUGGAUAAAAAUGAGCUGGUUCAGAAGGCCAAACUGGCCGAGCAGGCUGAACGAUAUGAUGACAUGGCAGCCUGCAUGAAGUCUGUAACUGAGCAAGGAGCUGAAUUAUCCAAUGAGGAGAGGAAUCUUCUCUCAGUUGCUUAUAAGAAUGUUGUAGGAGCCCGUAGGUCAUCUUGGAGGGUCGUCUCAAGUAUUGAGCAAAAGACGGAAGAUGCUGAGAAAAAACAGCAGAUGGCUCGAGAAUACAGAGAGAAAAUUGAGACCGAGCUAAGAGAUAUCUGCAAUGAUGUACUGUCUCUUUUGGAAAAGUUCUUGAUCCCCAAUGCUUCACAAGCAGAGAGCAAAGUCUUCUAUUUGAAAAUGAAGGGAGACUACUACCGUUACUUGGCUGAGGUUGCUGCUGGUGAUGACAAGAAAGGGAUUGUGGAUCAGUCACAACAAGCAUACCAAGAAGCUUUUGAAAUCAGCAAAAAGGAAAUGCAACCAACACAUCCUAUCAGAUUGGGUCUGGCCCUUAACUUCUCUGUGUUCUAUUACGAGAUUCUGAACUCCCCAGAGAAAGCCUGCUCUCUUGCAAAAACAGCUUUUGAUGAAGCCAUUGCUGAACUUGAUACAUUAAGUGAAGAGUCAUACAAAGACAGCACGCUAACAAUGCAAUUGCUAAGAGACAACUUGACAUUGUGGACAUCGGAUACCCAAGGAGAUGAAGCUGAAGCAGGAGAAGGAGGGGAAAAUUAACCGGCCUUCCAACUUUUGUCUGCCUCAUUCUAAAAUUUACACAGUAGACCAUUUUGUCAUCCAUGCUGUCCCACAAAUAGUUUUUUGUUUACAAUUUAUGACAGGUUUAUGUUACUUCUAUUUGAAUUUCUAUAUUUCCCAUGUGGUUUUUAUGUUUAAUAUUAGGGGAGUAGAGCCAGUUAACAUUUAGGGAAUUAUCUGUUUUCAUCUUGAGGUGGCCAAUAUGGGGAUGUGGAAUUUUUAUACAAGUUAUAAAUGUUCGGCAUAGUACUUUUGGUACAUUGUGGCUUCACAAGGGCCAAUGUUAAAACUGCUUCCAUGUCUAAGCAAAGAAAACUGCCUAUGUAUUGGUUUGUCCUGGUGGGGGAUAAAAGGGAUAAUUGGUUCCGGUCACAGGUGUAGUUAUUGUGGGUACUUUUAAGGUUUGGAGCACUUACAAGGCUGUGGUAGAAACAGAUAUGUCAUGGAUACUACAUGUUUAAACCAUGUGUAUCUGUAGAAUACUCAAUCUCAAUGUGCACACCUUUGACUACAGCUGCAGAAGUGUUCCUUUAGACAAAAUUGUGACCCAAUUUACUCUGGAUAAGGGCAGAAACGGUUCACAUUCCAUUUUUUGUAAAGUUACCUGCUGUUUGCUUUCAUUAUUUUGCUACACUCAUUUUAUUUGUAUUUAAAUGUUUUAGGCAACCUAAGAACAAAUGUAAAAGUAAAGAUGCAGUAAAAUGAAUUGCUUGAUACCCAUUACUUCGUGCAUAUCAAACAUAGCAGUAAAACAAAAAAACCCAUGUAUUUAACUUUUUUUAGGUUUUUUGCUUUUGUGAUUUUUUUUUUUGAUACUUGUCUAACAUGCAUGUGCUGUAAAAAAUGGUUAACAGGGAAAUAAUUUGAGAUGAUGGCUAGCUUUGUUUAAAUGUCUUAUGAGAUUUUCAUGAACAAUCCAAGCAUAAUUGUUAAGAACACGUGUAUUAAGUUCAUGUAAGUGGAAUAAAAGUUUUAUGAAUGGACUUUUCAACUACUUUCUCUACAGCUUUUCAUGUAAAUUAGUCUUUUGGUUCUGAAACUUCUCUAAAGGAAAUUGUACAUUUUUGGAAAUUUAUUCCUUAUUCCCUCUUGACAGCUAAUGGGCUUUUACCAAGUUUAAAGACAAAGUUUAUCAUAACAAAAAUACUACUAAUAUAACUACUGUUUCCAACCAUGUCCCAUGUUCCCCUCUCCUCCUCCCAACCCCCCAAAAAAUGAGUUGUUAUUUUUUCUGGGGGAGGGGGAGAUUGAUU